GUUUAAAACAGUUCCAAACAGCAGCAACUGAAUUUGGAAAUUCAUUCUGCAAAAUGUUACCCAGAGAGAUUUCAGGUGAAAAGUGAGAAUCUGACUUUUUUUUUUAAAUGUUGGAACAAAGAAGCAGUUGACCCCUUUAUACAGCUCAGUCAGAAAGUAAAUGAUAUAGAACCUGCUGGUAAUUCACAAGAUUCAAAAUUAGUGAUACUGUAGGAUGACUAGAGGCCAAGAUGCAAUAUAUAUAUAUAAUCUAAAACAGCAUUUUCAGAUUGGCAGCUUCUUAUCUGAAGUAAAAUAUGAAGUAAUUGCCCCCUACAUUUAUUGUAAAAGUAAAUAAAAAGUGUAUCAUUGAUAUGCUUAUUUAAUAUGCGUGUAUGUGUUUUGAGAGAAUACUUGGACUUAAAGAAUAAGGGUGUAUGAGGAGUGGGGGAGCAAGAUUUUCUUUACUUUAGCUUGUAAUGUUUUCAAGGCUUCAUGACCCAUGGAUUGUUUUUUUGUGACACUCCUCCUCCCCUCCCAAAAAAACACUGGUCUAAAGAAACAAGAACAGGACUGGGAGUCAGCAAGUCUUGAUGUCUAGUCCUGCUUCUACCAAUUAUGUGGUCUAUGCACACGUUGGGGCACAAAUCCACUGAAUUUCUGAUUGCUCUUUUUAGUGUCACUUAGAAGAUUUACUUCACUGAACCAGACUGCUACAACGGAAGCAGACCGUGAGGAGAAACUUGUCAGAACUUUCACUGCAGAUUUGACAAAACACAAAGAAGGUACCAAUGUGAAAUCUCUAAAGAUAGUGACAACACUUGACCCAAGGUUUAUGAAUCUGAAGUGCCUUCCAAA